GCUUAGGUAGUUUAAAGAAAAAACGGCAACUUGUGGCGUUGCGAAUGCAUAGGGCUUGCCUUAAGUC
rnacentral:tRNA from 1 species